rnacentral:rRNA from 1 species
AUGAACGCUGGCGGCGUGCCUAAUACAUGCAAGUAGAACGCUGAAGGAGGAGCUUGCUCUUCUGGAUGAGUUGCGAACGGGUGAGUAACGCGUAGGUAACCUGCCUGGUAGCGGGGGAUAACUAUUGGAAACGAUAGCUAAUACCGCAUGACAACAGUUAUUGCAUGAUAACUGUUUAAAAGGGGCAACUGCUCCACUACCAGAUGGACCUGCGUUGUAUUAGCUAGUUGGUGAGGUAACGGCUCACCAAGGCGACGAUACAUAGCCGACCUGAGAGGGUGAUCGGCCACACUGGGACUGAGACACGGCCCAGACUCCUACGGGAGGCAGCAGUAGGGAAUCUUCGGCAAUAGACGGAAGUCUGACCGAGCAACGCCGCGUGAGUGAAGAAGGUUGUCGGAUCGUAAAGCUCUGUUGUAAGAGAAGAACGAGUGUGAGAGUGGAAAGUUCACACUGUGACGGUAUCUUACCAGAAAGGGACGGCUAACUACGUG